rnacentral:lncRNA from 1 species
GCCGGACUGUGUAUUUAGGGUUUUGUGUGCAAAAUCAGGAGGAAAGGGGAGAAAAGGGGAAAGGGUGUGUGGUUAGACCUGGAAGAGGAAUUUGGGAGGUGAGAGUUUUGAAAAGCAAAAGUGCAGAAUCAGAUUUGACAUGUAUAGAAACAAGAGGAAAAAACAGGCUCUCGACAAGUAUUUGCUUUGGGCUACCCCAUCUUCAUAGUACUAGAGAAUGUGUACAGAUAACUUGAGCUGCUUUGAAAUAUGUUUUGGUUGCUGGACUGAGUUUAUUUGGUGGCAACGACUUCGAGACUGGCCCGUGUGGGUGACGGUGCUCUGAGCGUUGCUCUGCGAUGCAGCAAAGAGGAAUGGGGUGUGGUGAGUGUCUCUGGGCAUCUGAGACAGUCGGGUCAGCGGCUGUGAUGGGAAGAGGCCGGAAGCCAAGAACUGUUCGUUUGUUCCAGGACUGGAAGUUCAGCGUGACUUAUGACACAGGGCCAGCUGUGUCCAGAUGUACGAGAGGAGCCCAAAAGCUCGGGGCUCUCACAGGCUUUGUUUGUGGUGUCACUGCCCCCUAUGCUGCAGCCUGGGAGGGGAGGGGCUCGGUAGCAGCUUGGCCCUCUGUCUCUUGAAACAGGGGGAGCUGGGGCUGGAGGAGAAGCUGGUCUGCUGGGCCUGACAAUGCACUUGGAAGUGGAGAAAUAAGGACAGAGCUCUGGUGUAGGGGACCCUGAUUUCAGUCUUAAGAGUCUAGGAUUCUGGAGCUCAAGUGCUCCUGUCUGCACGGAUCCAGGCCCCUCUCUCUCAGCCAUCUCGACAGCACCCAGACGGCUCAGCCCUGCUCACUGCCUGCCGCUGGCGGAGACCUUAUCUCUGCCCACCACACGCAGCUGCUGCAGCGUCCUGGGCGGACUGGAAGCCAAACCACCGGAGCGAGUCUGCAGGCCGGUCCCGCUGCCUGCUCCGGGGACAGGAGCAGGGAAGAGGGGAAGAAGUGAGGCUGCCUGCCUGCCUCGCUCCUCUGGCAGAUGCCACAGGGACCCCUCGGCCCCCCUUUCAUUCCACAGGAUGGAUGCGGCUACCUCUCCUUGCCCCAGUCUCCUCUCCCUGGGCUGUGCUGGCCCCAUUGCCAGAAAAAUUCCAGGGCAUUCCAAGGCAAUCUGCCUGGAAAACAAACCCGGUGCCGAGCCACCGCGGGAUGGGCCAGAGGAUUUUGGUUUAAUCCCAAAACUCCCAGCACGGCCCAAAUCUCAUAAAUCAGGUGGGGAUAGUUGUUGUUUCAAGCGGCCGGUCCUUUCUUGUGCUGGCCGGCUCUCCCCUGCCUGCUCCUGCAGUGGGGGAGGGACUCUGCAGUGGGGGUGGGGAGAGGCCAGCAGGGAGGGAAGAGAUGGGGUGACUUAGCACGAGCCAUCUCUCUGCCCCACUUCGUCCCUUGACCUUCAGUCUGACGAGAAUCCCGUCCUGGCCGGCCCCGGAACGGUAAUAAGCUGCUGUGUUCAGGGAGCACGUUCAAGCGUUUUCAAAGCACCUUCAUUUCCAAUAAUCCAUUUUAUCCCUCUGGCAGCCCCAGACGGGGCAUAGGUGAGAGGCCGGUCUCGGAGGCCACGGAGGCCGCUGUGUCCACGCGGGUGUGCCUCCCAGCACACUGGCUGCCGGGCCUCUGCAGGCUGCCCCGUGGGUGUGGGACCGCCCAGACCGAGAGUGUCUUCUGCUGACCCAGCGCGGAGACGCCCAGAAGCUUCCACCACUGGCCUCACAUUGAAGUGCGUGAGCACAUGGACUUCUGCUCCGAAUCUGGCCCUGCCCUUCAGCAGCUGUGGUGCCUUGGCCAAGUUAUUUAGCCUCCCUGGGCCUCAGUUUCCUUAUCAUAAAGCAGGGAGAAUACCCACCUUACAGGGCUGUUAGGAGGACUAACUGAAUCAAUAUUUAGAAAGUGCUAGAGCAGUCCCUGGCACGUAGUAAGGGCUGUGUCAGUGUUUGCUGAAAAAACUGGUCUCAGCUCUGAAACCCAGGAUCACACAGACGGCGGCCAGGCUCUCGGGUAUGGGAGCUCGCGUGGGCUCCCUGAACCUCUUCUUCUCCAAGCCCUUCAGUUACCCAGCAAAUAUUUGUUGAACACACACCAUGUGCCUGUGUGUUUGGCCUUGGGUUUGCUGUGUGGACGGAAACAAAACAGUCCC